UGCGUAGGCGGUUUCUUAAGUCUGAUGUGAAAUCCCGUGGCUUAACCACGGAACUGCAUCGGAUACUGGGAGACUAGAGUGCGGAAGAGGUUGACGGAAUUACUAGUGUAGCGGUAGAAUGCGUAGAUAUUAGUAAGAAGACCGGUGGCGAAGGCGGUCAACUGGGACGUAACUGACGCUGAGGCACGAAAGCGUGGGGAGCAAACA
rnacentral:rRNA from 1 species